UAUCAUACUAGAAUUUUUUACAAAUUCAUUUCAGAAAAACAUAUACUAUUUAUACAGGAUGCAGUUUUAACGGAUCCGCUAGAGAUGGUGGCUCGAUUUGAAGCCGCCUCCAGCAUUUAUGUUGCUCAAGCGAGGGAGACGAUUCUAGUAGACCCUCUUUUUCAGUCAAAAUCGCCAUACGUGUUGCUCUGGCAUUCCUACGUUUUGUCUUUCUGUCAAACUCCCUUUCGUCUCCUCUCUUCGUGUGUUUCUACUGUCUCUCACUAUCAAGGUCCCCCGAACUUUCUUUGGCAUCAAAGCUCCAAAUCGUAAUGUCGCGGCAUACAUAGUCAGAAAAUAGGACUCACAUCACCUAGAGCUUUGAUAUUUUAGCAUAAAAUUGAGAGAGAUAUUAGUUGGCAUAUACAUAAUUAGAAAAUAGGAUUCACACCGCCUAGAGCUUUGAUAUUUUAUCGUAAAAAUUGAGAGAAAUAUUAGUUGGCAUAUACAUAAUCAGAAAAUAGGACUCACAUCACCUAGAGCUUUGAUAUUUUAGCAUAAAAAUUGAGAGAGAUAUUAGUUGGCAUGGAUUGGACGGUGAAAGAGAUGGUACCGGCCACCUGUUUCUUCUUUGCUUUACUUGCACGGUUGCACCACCGAUUCCCUGAGCUUUCACUUUCGGCCCCUAUGACGCN
rnacentral:lncRNA from 1 species